rnacentral:rRNA from 1 species
UUUGGCGAGUUUGAUCCUGGCUCAGAGCGAACGCUGGCGGCGUACUUAACACAUGCAAGUCGUACGAGGAUCGCCGGGUUAGCAAUAAUUCGGCGGUUCGAGUGGCGUACGGGUGAGUAACACGUGGGUAACCCACCCUUGAGACCGGGAUACCCUCUCGAAAGGGAGGCUAAUACUGGAUACGUUCCCCGGGACGCAAGAUCUGGGGAGGAAAGGUGGCGAAAGCUGCCGCUCUUGGAGGGGCUCGCGGCCUAUCAGCUAGUUGGUGAGGUAACGGCUCACCAAGGCUAUGACGGGUAGCUGGUCUGAGAGGACGACCAGCCACACG